GCCCAGGUAGCUCAGUGGUAGAGCAUGUGCCUGAAGAGCACAGUGUCGGUGGUUCGAUUCCAUCUCUGGGCA
rnacentral:tRNA from 1 species